rnacentral:ncRNA from 1 species
GGUCAAGCUACAAAGGGCGCAUGGUGAAUGCCUUGGCACUAGGAGCCGAAGAAGGACGUGAUAAGCUGCGAUAAGCCUUGGGUAGCCGCAAAUAGGCAGAGAUCCAGGGAUUUCCGAAUGAGGGAACUCACAUGGGGAACCCCAUGUAUCAUGCACUGAAUACAUAGGUGUAUGAGGGUAAACCCGGGGAACUGAAACAUCUAAGUACCCGGAGGAAGAGAAAGAAAAAUCGAUUUCCUAAGUAGCGGCGAGCGAACGGGAAAGAGCCCAAACCAGAAACUUGUUUCUGGGGUUGAGGAUAGAUCAUAAAAGAAGAGGUAUCUUAAUCGAAAAGGGCUGGAACGCCCUACCAUAGAAGGUAAUAGUCCUGUAGAUGAAAAGAGAAAACUUCGAGAUCUAAUCCAGAGUACCACGAGACACGUGAAACCUUG